CCCGAAACCCGGUGAUCUAGCCAUGGGCAGGUUGAAGGUUGGGUAACACUAACUGGAGGACCGAACCGACUAAUGUUGAAAAAUUAGCGGAUGACCUGUGGCUGGGGGUGAAAGGCCAAUCAAACCGGGAGAUAGCUGGUUCUCCCCGAAAGCUAUUUAGGUAGCGCCUCGUGAAUUCAUCUCCGGGGGUAGAGCACUGUUUCGGCUAGGGGGCCAUCCCGGCUUACCAACCCGAUGCAAACUGCGAAUACCGGAGAAUGUUAUCACGGGAGACACACGGCGGGUGCUAACGUCCGUCGUGAAGAGGGAAACAACCCAGACCGCCAGCUAAGGUCCCAAAGUCAUGGUUAAGUGGGAAACGAUGUGGGAAGGCCCAGACAGCCAGGAUGUUGGCUUAGAAGCAGCCAUCAUUUAAAGAAAGCGUAAUAGCUCACUGGUCGAGUCGGCCUGCGCGGAAGAUGUAACGGGGCUAAACCAUGCAC
rnacentral:rRNA from 1 species